rnacentral:rRNA from 1 species
UACGUAGGGUGCAAGCGUUGUCCGGAAUUAUUGGGCGUAAAGAGCUCGUAGGCGGUCUGUCGCGUCUGCUGUGAAAACCUAGGGCUUAACUCUGGGCGUGCAGUGGGUACGGGCAGACUAGAGUGCGGUAGGGGAGACUGGAAUUCCUGGUGUAGCGGUGAAAUGCGCAGAUAUCAGGAGGAACACCAGUGGCGAAGGCGGCGACCUGGCCAAUCACUGACACUGAAACGCGAAAGCGUGGGGAGCAAACAGG